GUAGCAGGAAGUGCUUGCACUUUGCUGACGAGUGGCGGACGGGUGAGUAAUACUUAGGAACAUGCCUUUGUGUGGGGGAUAACCAUUGGAAACGAUGGCUAAUACCGCAUAAUGUCUUUGGACCAAAGAGGGCUUUCGGGCUCUCGCGCAAAGAGUGGCCUAAGUGAGAUUAGCUUGUUGGUGAGGUAAAGGCUCACCAAGGCGACGAUCUCUAGCUGUUCUGAGAGGAAGAUCAGCCACACUGGGACUGAGACACGGCCCAGACUCCUACGGGAGGCAGCAGUGGGGAAUAUUGCACAAUGGGGGCAACCCUGAUGCAGCCAUGCCGCGUGUGUGAAGAAGGCCUUCGGGUUGUAAAGCACUUUCAGUUGUGAGGAAAGGUUGAUGGUUAAUACCCAUCAGCUGUGACGUUAGCAACAGAAGAAGCACCGGCUAACUCCGUGCCAGCAGCCGCGGUAAUACGGAGGGUGCGAGCGUUAAUCGGAAUUACUGGGCGUAAAGCGCACGCAGGCGGUUAUAUAAGCUAGAUGUGAAAGCCCCGGGCUCAACCUGGGAAUAGCAUUUAGAACUGUAUGACUAGAGUCUUGGAGAGGGGAGUGGAAUUCCAGGUGUAGCG
rnacentral:rRNA from 1 species